rnacentral:rRNA from 1 species
UACGGGGGGAGCAAGCGUUGUCCGGAUUCAUUGGGCGUAAAGAGCGUGUAGGCGGCCAGGUAGGUCGGUUGUGAAAACUGGAGGCUCAACCUUCAGAGGUCGACCGAAACCAUCUGGCUAGAGUCCGGGAGAGGAGAGUGGAAUUCCUGGUGUAGCGGUGAAAUGCGCAGAUAUCAGGAAGAACACCCGUGGCGAAGGCGGCUCUCUGGGACGGUACUGACGCUGAGACGCGAAAGCGUGGGGAGCGAACAGG